GAUCAAGUAUAAGAAAAGGAGUUUGGCGACAGUAUUUAUCGGGAAGAUUAAAGAUUUGGAGUACUGUGUACCUCAUUAAAAGUACUGAGUGUUAGGAGUCCAAAAAACUCCAGUGUGGGCCCAGGUUAUGGUCUAGGAUACUGCAGAUUUUCCUCCACCUCUGUCCCUCUCAGGGAUCCUGACCAAUGACAAUACUCUGUAAAAGGACAUCCAAGACCUAGACUGUUUAGAGGAAGUGGUGACAUGGCUGAGAAGGCUGGGCUCAGGACAGCCUCAGCACUCAUGGGUUUGUUCAGACAAGCGCUGCACUGCACCAGGCCAGCUGUGCCCUGAGGACGGAAUAAAAAGUGCAUUUCUGGCUCUUCUGUCUCCUGUCAGUUUCAGUGACUAUUAAGCUUCUGUCAGAUACAGUAGGCCAGUGCCUUAGGUUUUUUCAAGAAGCUGGCCCAGGGCUCCAUGGUGGUGCCCACCUUAAAUUCCAGCACUAAAGAGACAGGCAAAUCUCUGAGUCCAAGGUCAACUUGGCCUACAAAGCAAGUUCCUGGCCCAUAAGACCUUGUCUUGGAGUGGGGCAAGGGAAGCUGAUUAUGAGAUCAGAAAUCAAUGACAAAUGAGGCAAGUAUUAUCAGAAAAAUGGGUACUGUGUACUGUCACCUCCACCCCCAAAGAAAGACUGGGCUAGCAGUAAUGGCAUUGAAGCCGAGUUACUGGCAUGAAGAAGGUGACCCUUCAGUGAAGCAUCUUGCUAAAAUGUGAGCGCUGAGAUGCCAAGCUGGUGGACGUGUCUAUGUGGAUGACCUCACACCUGCCAACCCUGCAGAAGUCCUUUUUCUUUUUUAAGAUGUAUUUAUUAUUGUACAUAAGUACACUGUAGCUGUCUUCAGAUGCACCAGAAGAGGGCGUCAGAUCUCAUUACUGAUGGUUGUGCGCCACCAUGUGGUUGCUGGGAUUUGAACUCAAGGCCUUUGGAAGAGCAGUCAGUGCUCCUACCCACUGAGCCAUCUCGCCAGUCUGCAGGUGCUUUUCCUUAACCCUUUUAUGAAUAAAGGAGAGCAGAUACUG
rnacentral:lncRNA from 1 species